rnacentral:lncRNA from 1 species
UUAAGUUCUCUAGUACCCCUACCCCAAACUUAAGAUGUUGCUAAUUCCAUAAGCAACCCCAAACUUAAAAUGAUGCCAUGACAAGGAAAUUUAAAUCUUCUACCUAACUCCAAGGAGGGCAAACAGAUAAAAAUUUUCAGGUCUAAAAGGUUUAUAAUUUGGCCGUAUGUCACCGAAAGAAAGGGGAAUAUUUUUUGGCUCAAAAUGGUUUAGCAACGGAUAAAUAAUAAUAAACAGGGUAGCUUGAAAAGGCUUAGAGUACCAAAAAAAUGUGCCUCUAUGUGUUAAAAUGUAAAACCAAUCAACAGUAAAGAAUAGUCG